rnacentral:tRNA from 1 species
GAAGGUAUGGCUCAGUGGUAGAGUAUGUGCCUACCAUUCACAAGGUCCUAGGUUCAAUCUCCAGUUCCUCCA